CCAAUAAGCAAACCAAGGUUGUGGGUUCUAUGUUUGUUCAUAAGGAGGAAUCAUACUCAGGAACUUAAGAAGUCCAGGAAGUAGAGGUCUUACUUGGAUCAACAUUUUGUCGUGCACUCGGACGUUAGCAUGUCUUGGCACGACCUAUUCCAAUAAAACAGAAGGAUCUAAUACGUUACUACAUAUUCAGUUCAAAGGUGUUGCUUUGAUUCAGAGAGGUUAACUUCAAGUUAACUUUAGUUAAGAAAGACGUCGACUCGGUCAGUGUCGUAGCCACUAGGUUGAUGACAUUACUUAUUUGUCAGAUUCAAGUUCUACUUUACCUAGAUUAGAAUGGCCAGCACCAAUAUAUAUAGGAAGAUAGAUCAGUACUAGUAAUCUAGUUACAUAAAUUUCAACAUCUUAGAUUUUUCCUGUUUCUAUAAUAUAAAGCACAGGUGACAAUUGCUAGGACCUAGGACCUGUAGAUCUCUGCGCCAGUUAAGUAUAUCAGACAAAACCAUCACCACUGGUAGAAAAGGUAACGAAUGAUAGCCUGAACUAGGACCACAGAUAGCUGCUAUGCGUAACAGCAUUUUUGGUAUCUUAAA